GAACUUUUUCCAUGCUUUUUCUUAUUUUUCAUAAAAAGUGAAAACUACAGUUUUCAUUGAAAAUGGAAAAUGCACAAGUAAACAAGGCGUAAGAUUCUCAUAAAAACAAAUGUUCGAUAAAAGGCAAAUAAAGCACCCUCAACUCUCCAAAUUUUAGAUUCCUGAAAACUGCGGAUUUGGUCAACCAGAUCAAGAACUAUGUUUUUUUUUUCUGGUCUUCUUUUCAUCCUUGAUUUAGAAUUCUAUUAGGAAAAC
rnacentral:misc_RNA from 1 species